rnacentral:rRNA from 1 species
UACGGGGGGAGCAAGCGUUGUUCGGAUUUACUGGGCGUAAAGCGUGCGCAGGCGGCUCCUUAAGUCAGAUGUGAAAGCCCCGGGCUUAACCUGGGAACUGCGUUUGAAACUGGGGAGCUGGAGUGUAGAAGAGGGGGGUGGAAUUCCAGGUGUAGCAGUGAAAUGCGUAGAUAUCUGGAGGAACACCGAUGGCGAAGGCAGCCCCCUGGGCUAACACUGACGCUGAGGCGCGAAAGCUAGGGGAGCGAACAGG